AACAGCGCCAGCACAGAACAACAGAACAUCAUGAACUCCGCCAAAGUCACUGUCUUGUUCCUGAUCGCCAUCAGCAUUUCGAUUUCCAUUGCAAGCAACAAAAGAGAAAUGGAUAGAUCAGUAUCAACAUCAACAUCAGCUUCAACAUCAACAUCAACAUCAACA